rfam:Enterovibrio pacificus strain CAIM 1920 contig014, whole genome shotgun sequence.
AGACUGGCGCUUUUCAGCGCCAAUCAUCAGUAAUUAAAGGUAUUCG